rnacentral:rRNA from 1 species
GGGAAACCCAGUGUGACUCGUCACACUAUCAUUAACUGAAUCCAUAGGUUAAUGAGGCGAACCGGGGGAACUGAAACAUCUAAGUACCCCGAGGAAAAGAAAUCAACCGAGAUUCCCCCAGUAGCGGCGAGCGAACGGGGAGGAGCCCAGAGCCUGAAUCAGCAUGUGUGUUAGUGGAAGCGUCUGGAAAGGCGCGCGAUACAGGGUGACAGCCCCGUACACAAAAGCGCAUGUGCUGUGAGCUCGAUGAGUAGGGCGGGACACGUGGUAUCCUGUCUGAAUAUGGGGGGACCAUCCUCCAAGGCUAAAUACUCCUGACUGACCGAUAGUGAACCAGUACCGUGAGGGAAAGGCGAAAAGAACCCCGGCGAGGGGAGUGAAAAAGAACCUGAAACCGUGUACGUACAAGCAGUGGGAGCACCCUUUGGGUGUGACUGCGUACCUUUUGUAUAAUGGGUCAGCGACUUAUAUUCUGUAGCAAGGUUAACCGAAUAGGGGAGCCGGAGGGAAACCGAGUCUUAACCGGGCGUUAAGUUGCAGGGUAUAGACCCGAAACCCGGUGAUCUAGCCAUGGGCAGGUUGAAGGUUGGGUAACACUAACUGGAGGACCGAACCGACUAAUGUUGAAAAAUUAGCGGAUGACCUGUGGCUGGGGGUGAAAGGCCAAUCAAACCGGGAGAUAGCUGGUUCUCCCCGAAAGCUAUUUAGGUAGCGCCUCGUGAAUUCAUCUCCGGGGGUAGAGCACUGUUUCGGCUAGGGGGCCAUCCCGGCUUACCAACCCGAUGCAAACUGCGAAUACCGGAGAAUGUUAUCACGGGAGACACACGGCGGGUGCUAACGUCCGUCGUGAAGAGGGAAACAACCCAGACCGCCAGCUAAGGUCCCAAAGUCAUGGUUAAGUGGGAAACGAUGUGGGAAGGCCCAGACAGCCAGGAUGUUGGCUUAGAAGCAGCCAUCAUUUAAAGAAAGCGUAAUAGCUCACUGGUCGAGUCGGCCUGCGCGGAAGAUGUAACGGGGCUAAACCAUGCACCGAAGCUGCGGCAGCGACACUGUGUGUUGUUGGGUAGGGGAGCGUUCUGUAAGCCUGUGAAGGUGUGUCGUGAGGCAUGCUGGAGGUAUCAGAAGUGCGAAUGCUGACAUAAGUAACGAUAAAGCGGGUGAAAAGCCCGCUCGCCGGAAGACCAAGGGUUCCUGUCCAACGUUAAUCGGGGCAGGGUGAGUCGACCCCUAAGGCGAGGCCGAAAGGCGUAGUCGAUGGGAAACGGGUUAAUAUUCCCGUACUUGGUGUUACUGCGAAGGGGGGACGGAGAAGGCUAUGUUGGCCGGGCGACGGUUGUCCCGGUUUAAGCGUGUAGGUGUGUGUUCCAGGUAAAUCCGGUUCACUUUAACACUGAGGCGUGACGACGAGGCACUACGGUGCUGAAGCAACAAAUGCCCUGCUUCCAGGAAAAGCCUCUAAGCAUCAGGUAACAUCAAAUCGUACCCCAAACCGACACAGGUGGUCAGGUAGAGAAUACCAAGGCGCUUGAGAGAACUCGGGUGAAGGAACUAGGCAAAAUGGUGCCGUAACUUCGGGAGAAGGCACGCUGACACGUAGGUGAAGUGAUUUACUCAUGGAGCUGAAGUCAGUCGAAGAUACCAGCUGGCUGCAACUGUUUAUUAAAAACACAGCACUGUGCAAACACGAAAGUGGACGUAUACGGUGUGACGCCUGCCCGGUGCCGGAAGGUUAAUUGAUGGGGUCAGCGCAAGCGAAGCUCCUGAUCGAAGCCCCGGUAAACGGCGGCCGUAACUAUAACGGUCCUAAGGUAGCGAAAUUCCUUGUCGGGUAAGUUCCGACCUGCACGAAUGGCGUAAUGAUGGCCAGGCUGUCUCCACCCGAGACUCAGUGAAAUUGAACUCGCUGUGAAGAUGCAGUGUACCCGCGGCAAGACGGAAAGACCCCGUGAACCUUUACUAUAGCUUGACACUGAACAUUGAGCCUUGAUGUGUAGGAUAGGUGGGAGGCUUUGAAGUGUGGACGCCAGUCUGCAUGGAGCCGACCUUGAAAUACCACCCUUUAAUGUUUGAUGUUCUAACGUGGACCCGUUACCCGGGUUGCGGACAGUGUCUGGUGGGUAGUUUGACUGGGGCGGUCUCCUCCUAAAGAGUAACGGAGGAGCACGAAGGUUGGCUAAUCCUGGUCGGACAUCAGGAGGUUAGUGCAAUGGCAUAAGCCAGCUUGACUGCGAGCGUGACGGCGCGAGCAGGUGCGAAAGCAGGUCAUAGUGAUCCGGUGGUUCUGAAUGGAAGGGCCAUCGCUCAACGGAUAAAAGGUACUCCGGGGAUAACAGGCUGAUACCGCCCAAGAGUUCAUAUCGACGGCGGUGUUUGGCACCUCGAUGUCGGCUCAUCACAUCCUGGGGCUGAAGUAGGUCCCAAGGGUAUGGCUGUUCGCCAUUUAAAGUGGUACGCGAGCUGGGUUUAGAACGUCGUGAGACAGUUCGGUCCCUAUCUGCCGUGGGCGCUGGAGAACUGAGGGGGGCUGCUCCUAGUACGAGAGGACCGGAGUGGACGCAUCACUGGUGUUCGGGUUGUCAUGCCAAUGGCACUGCCCGGUAGCUAAAUGCGGAAGAGAUAAGUGCUGAAAGCAUCUAAGCACGAAACUUGCCCCGA